rnacentral:misc_RNA from 1 species
GUGUUUGAAGUUUCUACUGUCAAAGCAGUUGGGUUGAAGACAUUAGGAAAAUUCCACAAGCUUUUAUCGGGGAAAAAAUUGGCUAGAUUCUUAAAGAAAAUUUGAGUUAAAAUACAUAAAUAACGUGAAAAUAACAAUGAGCGAAGACUACUUAAGUCAACCACUAUCGCUGGGGUCGUCAUCAACAGAUGAAGCACGCACGAAUCGAUCGAGUGGAGCGUCAUCCGGUACAAGCACAUUUAGUACCCCUAUAUCACCAUAUCUAAAUUACGACCCGCGUUUCCUGCAACAAGCGCAACCAGAAUUUAUUUUUCCGGAAGGCGCCAAUAAGCAACGUGGACGCUUCGAACUAGCAUUUUCACAGAUUGGAAGUUCUGUGAUAGUUGGGGCGGGAAUCGGUGGGUUGGCUGGAUUUUACAAUGGUCUUCAAACAACCACCGCAUUGAAACAGGCCGGAAAAUUGAGACGAACACAACUGCUCAAUCAUGUGAUGAAACAAGGCUCAGGCACUGCAAACACUCUGGGGACAAUAGCCGUGAUGUAUUCCGCUUUCGGUGUACUGCUGCAAAGUGUACGCGGUGAAGACGAUGAUAUUAACACGGUUAUCGCUGGCACAGCUACGGGAUUGUUGUACAAAUCUACAGCCGGUCUUAGAAGGUGCGCAAUCGGUGGAGGUGUAGGACUUGGUAUAACAACGCUUUAUUGUCUCUUCCAAUUUAUGCGGUCGAGUUCCGGCGGGUCUAAUUUGAAAUUCCUGUAAAGUCACAAGUGUUUCAAAAAUUGAAGUGGAUGUAGUAAACUGACUGCAUUAUUUUGUAUACAUAUACGAAUGGUAGUUAGCUGCUGGUAGUGACAUAUGUAACUCCAGAUCGUGGAGAUGAAUGGAGUUGCGUUAUUCCUCUAUGUAACGCGCUCAAACGUACAUAGCAAAUCUAAGUUCCCUACAUCGCCGCACUCAACUGAUAACCUGAUAACAGCUGAUAAGAAUAGGUAAAAUCAACAAAAUUAAAUUUAAUAAUCCAAGACAUCGGAAUCUGAACCAGUUAACGCCAACACUU